rnacentral:rRNA from 1 species
CACGUAGGGUGCGAGCGUUGUCCGGAAUUAUUGGGCGUAAAGAGCUCGUAGGCGGUGUGUCGCGUCGGCCGUGAAAACCUGGGGGCUUAACUCUGGGCGUGCGGUCGAUACGGGCAUCACUGGAGUUCGGCAGGGGAGACUGGAAUUCCUGGUGUAGCGGUGAAAUGCGCAGAUAUCAGGAGGAACACCGGUGGCGAAGGCGGGUCUCUAGGCCGACACUGACGCUGAGGAGCGAAAGCGUGGGGAGCGAACAGG